rnacentral:tRNA from 1 species
GGGCCGGUCGUCUAGUUUGGUAGGACAUUGGCUUUACGAGCCAAAGGUCGCUGGUUCAAGUCCGGCCCGGCCCACCA